ACGAACGCUGGCGGCGUGCCUCAUACAUGCAAGUCGAGCGAAGUUUUUCUGGUGCUUGCACUAGAAAAACUUAGCGGCGAACGGGUGAGUAACACGUAAAGAACCUGCCUCAUAGACUGGGACAACUAUUGGAAACGAUAGCUAAUACCGGAUAACAGCAUUAACUGCAUGGUUGAUGUUUAAAAGUUGGUUUUGCUAACACUAUGAGAUGGCUUUGCGGUGCAUUAGCUAGUUGGUGGGGUAAAGGCCUACCAAGGCGACGAUGCAUAGCCGACCUGAGAGGGUGAUCGGCCACACUGGGACUGAGACACGGCCCAGACUCCUACGGGAGGCAGCAGUAGGGAAUCUUCCGCAAUGGGCGAAAGCCUGACGGAGCAACGCCGCGUGAGUGAAGAAGGAUUUCGGUUCGUAAAGCUCUGUUGUUAGGGAAGAAUGAUUGUGUAGUAACUAUACACAGUAGAGACGGUACCUAACCAGAAAGCCACGGCUAACUACGU
rnacentral:rRNA from 1 species